UUGCUGUGUCUGUUUUGUGCUAUGCAGGGUGGAAAAGGAAAGCUUUGAGGAGCAGGUGCUAAUGGAGGUCUGCACUACAGAGCACAAGUCUGGGACUCUGCUUGCUGAAGGCAUUGAAUGAACCAGUGCAACUUCAGUCCUCUGCUAGGCUUUUGGAAAAGGUCAGAAUUUACUGGAAUGCUGGAAAUAAUUAGUUGGUCUUCACUAAAGCUUGAAAAGGAAUACCAAAACAAUAGCAAAAUGCAAGGCCUUCCUUUGCUUGGGGAUUCGAGGCUACUUCUAGUCACUCUAGAUGAGAAGAUACAGAGUCUGGAAAAAGGACUAUUCAAAGCAUGAAUAAUUCAUUUCUUGUUUUAAAGAAUAAGCAUUCAUGGUUUAAUUGACAAAAUUUGUUUUCAAUACAAGGCCGUAUGAAUGGCUUGACAAAAUUUGUUAUUUGUUUGUAUAAUGCAAUGUGAAUGAGACAUGCAAUUGGAGCUCAGCUUCCUGCCAGAUCCCAGGUGACUAUGCUGUCAGCUGGCCCUCCAGAUGGCACAGAUCUCAAGAUGACGACAUGCUGGUUUAUGAAGUGGAAAGUGUAAUUACUGUGUUAACAAUGCCUAAUGUUGGAUUUGCUGUUGGUACUAAAGCUAGAGAAGUUGAAUAAUACAUCAUGAAGAUCUCUCUCGGGAAAAGACAAAUGCUUUAAUCCAUGAAGAAUGGUUUCACUAGCAUCCUUAAAAACAUCCAAGUGCCUUUCAAAAGCAUUUUUACUUCCUAUCCAUCUAUAUAAGGAAUUAUGCACUAUCAACAGAAGCAAAGACUCUCAUCCAUUCUCCAACCAUUUCAUGACUUGUUUAACAGUGUUGGUUUUGAACACAACCUUCUGCAUGGCCACUGAGAGGAUGAAAAUGGUAGGUGAAUGUGGAGCAUGAGUAUUUUUGAGACGCCUAUACAACCCCUCACAACUAAAUUCUGAGGUACUGAUAGAAUGACCCAAGACUGCAGACAUGACCUGUGAAUCUACAACCACCUUAAGCCUGUCAAGGAACUUAAUACUUUCCUAAUCUCUUUAGCUCUUUUGAAAUUCUUGAUAUAUUAUGAAGCAAUGUAUUAUUAAGGAGAUACUAGUAUAGUAUUUUAUAACUAUUCCUGUAAUACACACACAUAAAAACAUGUAAAUGUACAAAUCUCUUGUUCAGAUGGUUGGUUAAAAAGUAAACAUUCCUCUGAGUUUAUGAAUUAUUAGGUGGUAUUAAUAGUGUCAUCACUGGUAAAGUUUAGUAAGGUUACUGUAAGUAAAAGCUACCUUAAGAUUGUUUGGAAAUUAAAGUUUUAAAAAUCUUUAAUUACAAU